GACGAACGCUGGCGGCGUGCCUAAUACAUGCAAGUAGACCGCAGUUGCUAACGGGUGAGUAACGCGUAGGUAACUUCCUUAUAGUGGGGGAUAACUAGUGGAAACGAUAGCUAAUACCUCAUACUGUGAGAUGGACCUGCGUUGGAUUAGCUAGUUGGUGAGGUAAUGGCUCACUAAGGCGACGAUACAUAGCCGAACUGAGAGGGUGCUCGGCCACACUGGGACUGAGACACGGCCCAGACUCCACCGGGAGCAGCCAGAAGGAAUCUUUGGCAAAUGACGGAAGUCUGACCGGGCAAACGCGCGGGAGUUAAACAGGUUUUCCGAUCGUAAAACUCUGUUGUUAGAGAAACGGUAUCUAACCAGAAAGGGACGGCUAACUACGUGCCAGCAGCCGCGGUAAUAC
rnacentral:rRNA from 1 species